rnacentral:rRNA from 1 species
CCUACGGGUGGCAGCAGUCGAGAAUCAUGCACAAUGGGGGAAACCCUGAUGCUGCGACGCCGCGUGGGGGAAUGAAGGUCUUCGGAUUGUAAACCCCUUUCAUGUGGGAGCAAAUUAAAAAGACAGUACCACAAGAGGAAGAGACGGCUAACUCUGUGCCAGCAGCCGCGGUAAUACAGAGGUCUCAAGCGUUGUUCGGAAUCACUGGGCGUAAAGCGUGCGGAGGCUGUUUCGUAAGUCGUGUGUGAAAGGCGAGGGCUGAACCCGCGGACGGCACAUGAUACUGCGAGACUAGAGUAAUGGAGGGGGAACCGGAAUUCUCGGUGUAGCAGUGAAAUGCGUAGAUAUCGAGAGGAACACUCGUGGCGAAGGCGGGUUCCUGGACAUUAACUGACGCUGAGGCACGAAGGCGAGGGGAGCGAAAGGGAUUAGAUAUCCGAGUAGUC